rnacentral:rRNA from 1 species
GACGAACGCUGGCGGCGUGCUUAACACAUGCAAGUCGAGCGAUGAAGCACCUUCGGGUGUGGAUUAGCGGCGAACCGGUGAGGAACACGUGAGGAAUCUGCCUUUCACUUCGGGAUAACUCCGGGAAACCGGGGCUAAUACCGGAUAUUUUCAACUGGCGGCAUCGCCGGUUGAAGAAAGUUUUUCGGUGAAAGAUGACCUCGCGGCCUAUCAGCUUGGUGGUGAGGUAAUGGCUCACCAAGGCGACGACGGGUAGCCGGCCUGAGAGGGCGACCGGCCACACUGGGACUGAGACACGGCCCAGACUCCUACGGGAGGCAGCAGUGGGGAAUAUUGGGCAAUGGAGGAAACUCUGACCCAGCGACGCCGCGUGAGGGAUGAAGGCCUUCGGGUUGUAAACCUCUUUCAGCAGGGAAUAAGCGAAAGUGAAGGUACCUGCAGAAGAAGCACCGGCUAACUAUGUGCCAGCCGCCGCGGUAA